GAUGAACGCUAGCUACAGGCUUAACACAUGCAAGUCGAGGGGCAGCAUUUCGAAAGCUUGCUUUUGAAGAUGGCGACCGGCGCACGGGUGAGUAACGCGUAUCCAACCUUCCCCUUAGUAGGGCAUAGCCCGGCGAAAGUCGAAUUAAUACCCUAUGUUCUUUACGGAUGGCAUCUGAAGUAAAGUAAAGAUUUAUCGCUAAGGGAUGGGGAUGCGUCUGAUUAGGUUGUUGGCGGGGUAACGGCCCACCAAGCCUACGAUCAGUAGGGGUUCUGAGAGGAAGGUCCCCCACAUUGGUACUGAGACACGGACCAAACUCC
rnacentral:rRNA from 1 species